UAAUACGGAGGGGGCUAACGUUACUCGGAAUUACUGGGCGUAAAGCGAGCGUAGGCUGUUAAUUAAGUUGGGGGUGAAAGCCCGGGGCCCAACCCCGGAACUGCCCUCAAAACUAGUUAACUAGAGGACGGGAGAGGGGAGUGGAACUCCCAGUGUAGAGGUGAAAUUCGUAGAUAUUGGGAAGAACACCAGUGGCGAAGGCGACUCUCUGGACCGUUUCUGACGCUGAGGCUCGAAAGCGUGGGUAGCAAACAGGAUUAGAUACCCUGGUAGUCCACGCCGUAAACGAUGAGUGCUAGACGUUGGGAGGAUCGCCUCUCAGUGUCGUCGCUAACGCAUUAAGCACUCCGCCUGGGGAGUACGGUCGCAAGAUUA
rnacentral:rRNA from 1 species